CGCAAAGGAGGAAGAUUUUUCAAGCAAAGUGUCGAAUAGGAGAGGCAAUUUGCAGGCUAAUUAUAGAUAGCUGCAGUUGUGAGAAUCUGAUAGCUAAGCAAUUGGUGGAGAAAUUGCAGUUGCCUACACAGCUGCAUCCUUCGCCAUACAAAGUCGGAUGGAUUAAGGAAGGUCCGACAAUUGAGGUCAACAGAAUCUGCAGCGUACCUAUCUCGAUCGGUAAAUCUUAUACUGAACUUGUUAAUUGUGAUGUUGUGGAUAUGGAUUGUUGUGGAAUUUUGCUAGGUCGCCCUUGGCAGUUCGAUGUUGAUGCUUUGCAUAAGGGGAAGGAGAAUUUAUACAUGUUCACGUGGAAUCAAAAAAAGAUUACUAUCUUGUCUUCCGGUGCUGCGAAACAUUCUAAAAUGGAAGGGAAGAAUGUUGUUGCUAUUUCUACGGGAGUGCAGAAGCUAUCAGGCACAGUUGAAAGAUCUCGAGACACAAUGGCUUUAUUGGUGAGAGAAAAAAGUACAAUGGAGGAUGCACCACCUUUACCACCACCAGGUGGAAUUUGCAAACAACAGUAUUGCAGCAAGCAACUUGGUAAAGUAGCACGUGGAUGUUUUCAAACAGGUACAACAAUGCCUUACAGAAGUCAAUGACAAAGAUAAAGCUACAGCCGAUAAACAUAGGCGUUUCAAGUCCUUCAAUGUCGGUGACCAAGUUAUGGUGUAUUUACGCAAGGAGCAUGGUGGAGGACAGAAAAAACUUGACGCCAAGAAGAUUGGUCCAUUCCGGAUCAUUCAGAAGAUCAAUGACAAUGCCUAUGUUCUUGACCUCCCACAUGAGAUGAAAAUUUCCAAGACGUUUAAUGUGGCAGAUCUAUUUCAGUACUACCCUGCUGAUGACAACUCGAGGUCGAGUUCUUUACAAGUGGAAGGGAAUGACACGGAGCAACUAGCCUUGGAUUUUACGGCAGACUUGGACCGGGGCUAACUUUUGUAUUUUAAUUAUUAUUUUUGGAUAUUUUAGGUAUUUUCAUAAUUUUGCACAUUAGGGUUUUGUUUCUAUUAUAAAUAGCCUCUCUUGGCUAUUAGGAUUUUAGACUCCUAAUAGGAUUAGGAUUAUUUUUGCAUAUUAGGAUUUUAUUUCUAUUGUAAAUAGCCUCCCUUGGCUAUUAGGAUUUUAGACUCCUAUUAGGAUUAGGAUUAUUUUUGCAUAUUAGGAUUUUAUUUCUAUUAUAAAUAGCCUCCCUUGACUAUUAGGAACUCACUUUUCAAUCUUCGAGGAAUUUCAAUAAGACUUUUAGUCUUUCAGCCUAUCUUUUCUCUUAUUUCGUCUUAACCAAACGAUAUUGGUUAAAACUCCUGACGGAGUCUAAAUAGUCCUGUAUCAAUAGAACUCAUAAUCAUGGUUCUCAAAAUACUACCACUUCCUUGCAAUGCUCCCCAUUUCUCCAAUUCCCUUUUCCUUCUCUUAAUGAAAAAAGUUCCUGAGUAUCUCAAUUACGAAAGAUAAUCGUACGAAUCCAGAAUUUUAGUGGCACCUAUCUUCUUCAUGGGCACUGUGAUUUGAGGUUUUUCCAUUGCUCCAAGAAAUCUCAAGUUUAAGUACUUUGUGUUGUGCAGCUUGAAACGACUCCUUCAGUCUUUAUAUUUUCUGGAAGAAUAGGUUCUGAUUCUCGAAAAGAAGAAUAGAAAGACAGGGAAUGAGAAAUAGAGGAGGAAACAAGAACUUCAAGAACGAGGUUAGGGUUCUUAAACCCUCAUGGAGCAGAAAUUGGGGUAAAAGAACAAAUUGAGAGGGAAUAUGACAUGGAGCAACUAGCCUUGGAUUUUACGGCAGACUUGGACCGGGGCUAACUUUUGUAUUUUAAUUUUUUUUUUUUUGGAUAUUUUGGGUAUUUUCAUAAUUUUGCAUAUUAGGGUUUUGUUUCUAUUAUAAAUAGCCUCUCUUUGCUAUUAGAAAGAUACUUUUCAAUCUUUGAUGAAUUUCAAUAAGACUUUGUCUUUCAUCCUAUCUUUUCUCUUAUUUCGUCUUAGCCAAACGAUAUUGGUUGAAAUUCCUGACGGAGUCUAAAUAUUCCUUUAUCAGAUUGGUAUCAGAGCAAAGUUCGACCAUGGCAGAUAACCAAGAGGCGCGACUUGCUGCGAUUGAGGCAUCUUUGGCAGAAUUGAGGGAGAUGAUCGGACAAUUGACCCUACAGCAGGGAAUCCACCAACCCGUCGCCGCCGCACACCCCCAGCCAAUCGCCGAUCCUGUGACCGCCAAUCCUGAGGUCACCUAUGUGGUGAAGAAAAUCUUAUGUUCAACAAAACAGGAGGAUGAGACGCAAAGGAAGAAGAUUUUCCAGGCAAAGUGUCGAGUAGGAGAGGCAAUUUGCAGGCUAAUCAUAGAUAGUUGCAGUUGUGAGAAUCUGAUAGCUAAGCAAUUGGUGGAGAAAUUGCAGUUGCCUACACAGCCGCACCCUUCGCCAUACAAAGUCAGAUGGAUUAAGGAAGGUUCGGCAAUUGAGGUCAACAAAAUCUGCAGCGUGCCUAUCUUGAUCGGUAAAUCUUAUGCUGAACUUGUUAAUUGUGAUGUUGUGGAUAUGGAUUGCUGUGAAAUUUUGCUAGGUCGCCCUUGGCAGUUCGAUGUUGAUGCGUUGCACAAAAGAAAAAAGAAUUCAUACAUAUUCACGUGGAAUCAAAAGAAGAUUAUUAUCUUGCCUUCCGGUUCUGUUAAACAUUCUAAAGUGGAAGGGAAGAAUGUUGUUGCUGUUUCCAUGGGAGUACAGAGGUUAUCAGGCACAGUUGAGAAAUCUGAAGGCACACUGGCCUUAUUGGUGAGAGCAAAAGGUACAAUGGAGGAUGCACCAUCUUUAACACCACCCGUCAAAGAGCUGUUGAAGAAGCUUCCUAAGAUAGUGGAGGAAUCAUCCUAGCUUCCACCUCUGUGGGAUAUUCAAUAUCAGAUUGAUCUCAUUCCUAGAUCAAAACUAUUGAAUCUGCCUCAUUACAAGAUGAGUCCAAAGGAGAGUGAAAUCCUCCAAGACCAGGUGGAAUUUGCUAACAACAGCGUUGUCCAUAGCUCCGCAAAGAUGUCACCGUUUGCUGUUGUGUACAGGAAAGUCCCAGUGCAUACAGUUGAUUUUGUUGCCCUUUCCACAGGUUCUCACAACAGUAUUGUAGCAAGCAACUUGGCCAAGCAACUUGGCAAAGCAGCACGUGGAUGUUUUCAAACAGGUACAACAAUGCCUUACAGAAGCCAAUGACAAAUAUAAAGCUACAGCUGAUAAACAUAGGCGUUUCAAGUCCUUCAAUGUCGGUGACCAAGUUAUGGUGUAUUUACGCAAGGAGCGUGGUGGAGGACAGAAAAAGCUUAACGCCAAGAAGAUUGGUCCAUUCCGGAUCAUUCAGAAGGUCAAUGACAAUGCCUAUGUUCUUGACCUCCCACAUGAGAUGAAAAUUUCCAAGACGUUUAAUGUGGCAGAUCUAUUUCAGUACUACCCUGCUGAUGCCAACUCGAGGUCGAGUUCUUUACAAGUGGAAGGGAAUGACAUGGAGCAACUAGCCUUGGAUUUUACGGCAGACUUGGA
rnacentral:lncRNA from 1 species